rnacentral:lncRNA from 1 species
AGGUUUAACCAAAAAACGCCAUUAACUUGUGUUUGACUUGAUUCCCAGAACCAGCAUCCAACUGAGAGCAGCAAAAAUAAUGCUUAAUAAAUCCUACCUCCGAAAACAUGGGCAGUUUUUUGGCAAAGUCUACGACGCGUGUGAUGGCAGGGGUGAUGAUCUUGGUGAACUCGCUGAAUGCCUCCAGGUCCACCUUGUCCCCGUCUGACGUUGGAGCUACCGGGGACUGGCCGAUGUCAUCAGGCUGAAAAGACCAAACACAAAGAGACAGAGAGGAAAGAACAGUACAGUUGGAGGUGUGAUCCAGUGUCUGCAGUGCCAGCAGAGCUGGGAUUGUCCGGGGAGGGUUAUUCUGCAGUAGAGUGGUUGGAGUGGACUGAUGAGGGGGUUCACAUGCUCACAAUAGCCUCUCUGUUCCACCCUGGAGAGGACAAUAGGUCAACACUGCACGGACCGGGCAGAAUCAGUGUUCAGGACUGCAGCUUUCACAACAGCAUUCACUCACGCAGCGGGAGGUAUCGCUGCUCCAGGCGCUUCUGCAGAUACUGCGAUUUGGGACGAUAACAGCUUUUGAGCCUCAUCCAGAACACAGUCACAUCUCAUUGACCCAAGGUUAUCAGCAUGUUUUAGUGUGUCUUCUGAGUGAAACGUGAGCAGCAGUGGGUGUUUAUGGAUGAGAGGGAGGACAGCACAGUGAAGAGAAGAUGAAUGAACGAGACGGAUGGAGGGGAUUGGGUGAGCUGGCCGAGGGGACAAGUCUGAGACAGUGAGAUUGAGUAGGUUGGCAUUCGGCGCUGCAGGGACAGACUGCAGAACUGAAGAACAGAGCCCAGAGGAACAGAGAGGUUGGAAGGCACUUUGAGAGGAACUCUAAGCAGGCUGUAAAGUGAUUAGAGCCAAGGCUCCAGCGGCCACUCCACUGCCCACAAUUCCCUCUCGGCUCACAGCUAACACUGCUAACAGCUGGAAUAAGCCAAAUGGCCUGGGGUAAAACAACAUUUUCACUUUUGUAAGAGCUUAGAAACAGAAAAGAAGGUCCAAUCCCCUUUCUCUUUUGUACUCCUACCUUUUUGUUUUUGAGUUAAAAGAAUUGGAAUUGGUUGAAAUCCUGCCCUUAAGAAAUGGGAUAAUGCUUCAAGAAUUUGAUCACAAUGAAAACCCAUCGAUACGAUAAUAUGCACAUUGAAAACUUACAGAGAACCUCAGAAACAAAUAUAUUAUUUAUCAGCCUUACAGUUUUAGCUUUUAACCAAUAAAAUGAAAGAUUUUCCUGAGAAAUGUUUCA